rnacentral:misc_RNA from 1 species
GUUUUGAUAUUAUCCGAAGGACCUCCACCUGACUUGCCUGUAUUGUCCCAUCUUCCCAUUCUUUACCUGAUCACACAUAAUCCAUACACACACCGUUGCUUUGCCACUUGCUGCUUGCUCACAAGCAGUGUCUCUGACCGCUCCCCGAAUCGAACUACGGUAGAAUACCGCGUUCUUUUUUUUUUUGCUUUUUUCCCUUCUAUGUGCUGGACACAACUGGCGAAGCGGACAAGAAGUACCUCACAGAGAAAAAAAAACGUUUGCCGAGAACGCACGCACACACGCGUCAGCUUAUAGACUGAGAAGAACAGAGAGAAAGAGAGCGACGCAGGUUCGUCGACAUUUUAUGGAAUCUCGGCACACCUGUCACGACAGCGCUGAAUUCGCCUUCUUUCUUCGCCCCGCAGCGCCGCUCACUCCGUUUCUCGCUUUAGCCCACGCGCAUGCGGUGACCAGUCACACCUUUUUGAUAAUUCGAGCGCUCCUCGCAACAUCUCCAGGGACGACGUAUCCACACGCACAAUCACAUUGCGCAAAGAAGAAGGGCAACGACCUCGCGAUCUCCCCAACCGCUCACCCUUCACGGCAGGACUGCCGCGACUGAAUACCCAAGCAAGUCAGGUGCGUACCAGUUUAGCUCUUGUCCUCUCGACGCAGCUACGAAUGAACUCGUCCACAGGUGCUUCCUCCGCUGCCGCAGUGGAGGCCAGCGGCGCCCCGCCAAGCACCUCUGAUUCACCUUCCCAACCACCGCCGCCGCCCCCGCAUCGCUUCUCGGCAGAGGCGGCACCGUUUGUACCGUCCUACAUGCGCACCCCCGUCGUAGGAGCCGGUGUGGCGCCGUUAGAGCCGGCGCCGCUGGAGGCAAGUAGCGCGGCAGGUGAGGAUGAUGUCGAGGCCCGUGUGGGGGACGAAGGCACUGACCGGGCGCGCUUCUCAAAGAUGUGGAUGUACUGUCUUCAACAGAUGCAGGGACACGAGGUCGGCAUGCUGAUGGACAUGAUGCCGCCCGACAUCCAGGAACUCUACUCCGAUAAGCUGAGCGAUGAGUACCUGCUGGACGAACGCGACAACACGGACAAGGGUGUGCAUGCGUUGCGUGCUGCGCAUAAGAUGGUGGAGGAGCUUACCCCAGAGCAGCUCUUCCACAUAGAGGAGUUCCUUGUAGAAACAGACGCUCUCAAUGCCGAGGCGAACCGGUGCCACGGCAAGGCUUACCACCCCCGCGGCGAUGGUGACAAUCUCGGGAAAGAGGAGAACAGCUGCGACGAUGACGGCGAAGACUUGUUCAUGCACCGCGACGAAGGCAUGGGCUCUGACGAGGAGGAAUGGCUGCUCGAACAAAUGAUCGCGGCUGAGGACAAGUCUAGUGCCGCUGCGAAGUAGGCUUUGGGGGCGUCAGUGCUAGCUCUUCUACCGCGUGUGCGCUCCUCCGCCACACUCCAUCGGCCGCAUUAACUCCGUCGCUGCUUCACCCGGCGACGUUGCUUUUUCUUUUUCUAGUAUCAUUCUUCUCUCGCGUGGCCUCGCUUUCCUCUGCCUAACGUACUGCAUGCCGUGCCCUUACAUAUAUAUUUCUGGCCAUAG